ensembl:lncRNA
AGGAGGCUAACCACACCCUCCAAACACAGCACCUGAAGAAGAACGACUGCCACCAUCAGAGACAACACCCGCCCCAUACAAGGCCAAAUCUGAGACGGUACUAACCAUCCUAGGGAUCCCAGGCACCACUACUCAGACCCGCUCAGCACCUGAACGUGAGCCCUACCUACUGUCAGGCCCCAAGAUGUAGCUGUAAUUAAGAGGUCCAGAUGCAAAUCCCAUCAUCCAAGAGAUUUCCUCAAAAUAUGGAAUAAUGUGGAAAGCCUUUUUGAAAUGGCUGGGCAGAUGGCAGCGAGAGGACCUGGGCUGUGCAAGAGGCCAGUGGCUGCGUUCCUCAGCACUCAGGAGGAUUUCAAAGUGCCCAGGACCUGAGCGCCUGGGCCCUUCCAGGAGCUGUUGCCACGUGGAGACCACAAACUUGCUCCUGUGCUCAGAACUGCAGCUAUCUCUUCAUAAGCCCAUGCCCUGGGGCUUGGAGGAUGAAAACUGCUCCCCAAGAUGCCACCUUUAAAAACAGAAUGAAGCAUCUGCUCUGACAGCCUCUGGCUUGUUGGUAGCCUAUCCUAGUGGAAACAAGGAGUUGUUCUAACUUACCUUAGAGCAAAUCCCUGGUUCUCAACCCGACUGUUCAACCCUGGGACACUGAAAGAAAUACAGAGGCCCAGGCCCCACCUGGGCCUGCUCAGCCCAGCUCUCUCAGGUCAGGUCCUUUCAUGAUUCAGGUGAGCAGCCCAGGCUAGGAACUACGGGAAUCGGCUCUCGGAUUAGAAGUGAGGAUCUUCCAUUUUCAGUACGACAACCGGCCAUUUCUACACCAAGCAAGCAGAGGAUUGCUCAGCUUUUGCACUGCUGUCUUCUCAAGAACAAGUCAAGGACCACUGCAACAGCUUGGAACCUGGGCAUGAUUUCCUGGGUGAGGAGCAUUGCUCCCUGAGAGCAGGGUCAGCAGAAAGAGAGGUCCUGGCUCUUUUACUUGGUGACAUCCUGCAGUGAGCACAGCCCUAGUGAAGGACUGGUCCUAACCUUGACUCCCCCUGGUGUAAACACCUUGAAAUAUCCAGAGAAUGGGGCACAUCAGUUAAAUCAGUUGCAUUUAAUGGGCCUUUGCCGGCAGUGAGCUCCUGGGUUUCCCUGCGUCACUUCAGUGCCACCUGCGUGAAUGAAAGGCUGCCAAGUUAGACCUGCCCGUUGAAUUAAACCCGCAAUCUCAUUCUUCUCAAUAGCUGUGUCCUUGUGAUGCUUUGCCCUAUGCAGGCUAACCCUAGGAGCCCAGUAGGAACUCCUGUUUCUGCAAUGCCAAUUUGCCUAGGAGGUUGGGUGUACCAGCAAAAAUCUGUCUUUGAUCGCCAGAUAAUUCAGAUAGGCACAUAUAAUUGUAUAGAAACCAUUUCCUUCUGGCAGUGGAUUGUAGAGGGGAACAUUCUGGCUAAGGAGCUAUGAAACUGUUGGCUGCAGUAUAAAUGAGAUUCCACUCUGAGUUUGUGGUGACAAGCGACCUUUUCUGACCUGUAGCCCAUGCAGCAGUUAUCUCUUAAAUUUGAGCAUUUGACCCAGAAGGUAGUUCUCAUUCCUUCAAAUCCAUGGACUCGUGGUAUACGGGCCUUCACAUUCUGGUUCAGUGCCCUAGCUUUACCCCCAAGAGAGUGAAAACUUCAAGAGUUUGUCAGUGAUUAAAAUACAAGUACGCAUGCAUGCACGCACACAUCUUAUUUUCAGACUCCUAUGACACUGUAAUGCUUCCAAACUGAUGUCGGAAUCUAACUAAAUGAAAAUAUUUGUCAUCUGUCGUGUAGUAGUCAGGAUAGAGUAGGAUAGGAUGUCGUAACAGAACCCCUCAAAACUCAGUGGCUUAAACCUCAAAGCUUUAUUUUUCAAUCACCUUCCAAGUGAGUGGCAGAGAGUUCAUUCUUCAUUGUUACUCAAGAACUGAGGCUGCUGGAGGCACCACCAUCUUGACGUGGAGUAUUUGCCACUGCGUUGGGCUCUCACACCUUCUCAGUGUCAUUCGGGAAGCCACGUUCAUCACUUAUGCUCUCAUCCCACUGGAAAGAACUGCACAGGGGCCCUGGUUGCAGGUGGUCCAUGGAUUUGAAGUUGUGCUGAGGAAGAGAGGAGAGCCGUAUGUGG